AUUUCCUGCCGAAGGCAAAGCUUCCGGGUCGCGAUCCGCGGGGACUUGUGUCUGGGUGACUUCUCGGCGUUGUCCGAGGUCCCUGCCUCCGGGGUCCUCCGCCGGCCUCUGCCCGGGCUCGUGCUCGCCGCGUUGCCACCUCCAUCGUGAGGAGGAACUAUGAACGGGAGGGCUGAGUUUCGAGAGCCGAAUGCUGAAGUUCCAAGACCGAUUCCCCACAUAGGGGCUGAUUACAUACCGACAGAGGAAGAAAGGAGAGUCUUUGCGGAGUGCAAUGAAGAAAGCUUCUGGUUCAGAUCUGUGCCAUUGGCGGCCACAAGUAUGUUGAUUACUCAAGGAUUAAUUAGUAAAGGAAUCCUGUCAAGUCAUCCAAAAUACGGCUCCAUUCCUAAACUUAUAUUUGCAUGUAUCAUGGGGUACUUUGCUGGGAAGCUUUCUUAUGUGAAAACCUGCCAAGAAAAGUUCAAGAAUCUUGAAAACUCCCCCCUUGGAGAAGCUCUGCGGUCAGGCCAAGCAAGGCGCUCUUCCCCACCUGGGCAUUAUGCUCAAAGAUCAAGAUAUGACUCAAAUAUGAGUGGUCAGUCCUCCUUUGUGACAUCUCCUGCAGCAGACAGCAUAGAAAAGGAGGCGCUUCCUCGUUACGAGCCAAUUCCAUUUAGUGCGUCUAUGAAUGAAUCCACUCCCACUGGUAUUACUGACCAUAUUGCCCAAGGUAGAAACUUCUCUUGAAAUGAAUUUCAGCAUUUAUUGGUCCAACGACCUGAUCCCAACUUUGAAGAAAGUCCCAAAAGAAAAAGUAUUACAUAUGAGGAAUUAAGGAGUAAGAACAGAGAGUCCUAUGAAGUAACUUUAACACACAAGACUGACCCCUCAGUCAGGCCUGUGCAGGAAAGAGUGCCCAAAAAAGAAGUCAAAGUAAACAAAUACGGAGAUACUUGGGAUGAGUGAGAGACCCCGUCAUUGGACCUACUGAAGGCCUUCCAUACCCAGCUUCAUCCAGGUGGUGCACGCCCUGCAUGCCUGGACUCCGCAGCAGUCUUCAUAAACACAUUGAAAACGAAAUCCUGGUUUGUGUGAUUUAACAUUUGAUGCUUUACAAACACAGAUUUUAGUGUUUACUGUUGUGUAAAUGUUGUGACCCAGGGCACUCAGAAUGAUGGUAUUAGGCCAUGGCUUGUACACUUGGUGACAGGGAAAGACUCGUGAAAUUUGACUGUGACUCUGGAUAAAGCUAUGUGAAGACAAGUGAUAGUGCAUGCCGCGGGGGAAGGGGGAGCACACAUCUGGGGUUCAGCUUUAUAUCAGUUCUUAAAAGGCCUUUCUUCAGCAUUUGCUCUAGCAUCUUAAUGUUUAUGGUGAAUAAAAUGUAAAACACGCAUCA